rnacentral:rRNA from 1 species
CUGCGGCAGCGACGCUUAUGCGUUGUUGGGUAGGGGAGCGUUCUGUAAGCCUGUGAAGGUGUGCUGUGAGGUAUGCUGGAGGUAUCAGAAGUGCGAAUGCUGACAUAAGUAACGAUAAAGCGGGUGAAAAGCCCGCUCGCCGGAAGACCAAGGGUUCCUGUCCAACGUUAAUCGGGGCAGGGUGAGUCGACCCCUAAGGCGAGGCCGAAAGGCGUAGUCGAUGGGAAACAGGUUAAUAUUCCUGUACUUGGUGUUACUGCGAAGGGGGGACGGAGAAGGCUAUGUUGGCCGGGCGACGGUUGUCCCGGUUUAAGCGUGUAGGCUGGUUUUCCAGGCAAAUCCGGAAAAUCAAGGCCGAGGCGUGAUGACGAGGCACUACGGUGCUGAAGCAACAAAUGCCCUGCUUCCAGGAAAAGCCUCUAAGCAUCAGGUAACAUCAAAUCGUACCCCAAACCGACACAGGUGGUCAGGUAGAGAAUACCAAGGCGCUUGAGAGAACUCGGGUGAAGGAACUAGGCAAAAUGGUGCCGUAACUUCGGGAGAAGGCACGCUGAUACGUAGGUGAAGCGACUUGCUCGUGGAGCUGAAAUCAGUCGAAGAUACCAGCUGGCUGCAACUGUUUAUUAAAAACACAGCACUGUGCAAACACGAAAGUGGACGUAUACGGUGUGACGCCUGCCCGGUGCCGGAAGGUUAAUUGAUGGGGUUAGCGCAAGCGAAGCUCUUGAUCGAAGCCCCGGUAAACGGCGGCCGUAACUAUAACGGUCCUAAGGUAGCGAAAUUCCUUGUCGGGUAAGUUCCGACCUGCACGAAUGGCGUAAUGAUGGCCAGGCUGUCUCCACCCGAGACUCAGUGAAAUUGAACUCGCUGUGAAGAUGCAGUGUACCCGCGGCAAGACGGAAAGACCCCGUGAACCUUUACUAUAGCUUGACACUGAACAUUGAGCCUUGAUGUGUAGGAUAGGUGGGAGGCUUUGAAGUGUGGACGCCAGUCUGCAUGGAGCCGACCUUGAAAUACCACCCUUUAAUGUUUGAUGUUCUAACGUGGACCCGUGAUCCGGGUUGCGGACAGUGUCUGGUGGGUAGUUUGACUGGGGCGGUCUCCUCCUAAAGAGUAACGGAGGAGCACGAAGGUUGGCUAAUCCUGGUCGGACAUCAGGAGGUUAGUGCAAUGGCAUAAGCCAGCUUGACUGCGAGCGUGACGGCGCGAGCAGGUGCGAAAGCAGGUCAUAGUGAUCCGGUGGUUCUGAAUGGAAGGGCCAUCGCUCAACGGAUAAAAGGUACUCCGGGGAUAACAGGCUGAUACCGCCCAAGAGUUCAUAUCGACGGCGGUGUUUGGCACCUCGAUGUCGGCUCAUCACAUCCUGGGGCUGAAGUAGGUCCCAAGGGUAUGGCUGUUCGCCAUUUAAAGUGGUACGCGAGCUGGGUUUAGAACGUCGUGAGACAGUUCGGUCCCUAUCUGCCGUGGGCGCUGGAGAACUGAGGGGGGCUGCUCCUAGUACGAGAGGACCGGAGUGGACGCAUCACUGGUGUUCGGGUUGUCAUGCCAAUGGCACUGCCCGGUAGCUAAAUGCGGAAGAGAUAAGUGCUGAAAGCAUCUAAGCACGAAACUUGCCCCGAGAUGAGUUCUCCCUGACCCUUUAAGGGUCCUGAAGGAACGUUGAAGACGACGACGUUGAUAGGCCGGGUGUGUAAGCGCAGCGAUGCGUUGAGCUAACCGGUACUAAUGAACCGUGAGGCUUAACCUUACAACGCCGAAG